rnacentral:rRNA from 1 species
GAUGAACGCUGGCGGCGUGCCUAAUACAUGCAAGUCGAGCGAACGGACGAGAAGCUUGCUUCUCUGAUGUUAGCGGCGGACGGGUGAGUAACACGUGGAUAACCUACCUAUAAGACUGGGAUAACUUCGGGAAACCGGAGCUAAUACCGGAUAAUAUUUUGAACCGCAUGGUUCAAAAGUGAAAGACGGUCUUGCUGUCACUUAUAGAUGGAUCCGCGCUGCAUUAGCUAGUUGGUAAGGUAACGGCUUACCAAGGCAACGAUGCAUAGCCGACCUGAGAGGGUGAUCGGCCACACUGGAACUGAGACACGGUCCAGACUCCUACGGGAGGCAGCAGUAGGGAAUCUUCCGCAAUGGGCGAAAGCCUGACGGAGCAACGCCGCGUGAGUGAUGAAGGUCUUCGGAUCGUAAAACUCUGUUAUUAGGGAAGAACAUAUGUGUAAGUAACUGUGCACAUCUUGACGGUACCUAAUCAGAAAGCCACGGCUAACUACGUGCCAGCAGCCGCGGUAAUACGUAGGUGGCAAGCGUUAUCCGGAAUUAUUGGGCGUAAAGCGCGCGUAGGCGGUUUUUUAAGUCUGAUGUGAAAGCCCACGGCUCAACCGUGGAGGGUCAUUGGAAACUGGAAAACUUGAGUGCAGAAGAGGAAAGUGGAAUUCCAUGUGUAGCGGUGAAAUGCGCAGAGAUAUGGAGGAACACCAGUGGCGAAGGCGACUUUCUGGUCUGUAACUGACGCUGAUGUGCGAAAGCGUGGGGAUCAAACAGGAUUAGAUACCCUGGUAGUCCACGCCGUAAACGAUGAGUGCUAAGUGUUAGGGGGUUUCCGCCCCUUAGUGCUGCAGCUAACGCAUUAAGCACUCCGCCUGGGGAGUACGACCGCAAGGUUGAAACUCAAAGGAAUUGACGGGGACCCGCACAAGCGGUGGAGCAUGUGGUUUAAUUCGAAGCAACGCGAAGAACCUUACCAAAUCUUGACAUCCUUUGACAACUCUAGAGAUAGAGCCUUCCCCUUCGGGGGGGGCAAAGUGACAGGUGGUGCAUGGUUGUCGUCAGCUCGUGUCGUGAGAUGUUGGGUUAAGUCCCGCAACGAGCGCAACCCUUAAGCUUAGUUGCCAUCAUUAAGUUGGGCACUCUAAGUUGACUGCCGGUGACAAACCGGAGGAAGGUGGGGAUGACGUCAAAUCAUCAUGCCCCUUAUGAUUUGGGCUACACACGUGCUACAAUGGACAAUACAAAGGGCAGCGAAACCGCGAGGUCAAGCAAAUCCCAUAAAGUUGUUCUCAGUUCGGAUUGUAGUCUGCAACUCGACUACAUGAAGCUGGAAUCGCUAGUAAUCGUAGAUCAGCAUGCUACGGUGAAUACGUUCCCGGGUCU